rnacentral:rRNA from 1 species
AUACGGAGGGUGCAAGCGUUAUUCGGAAUCACUGGGCGUAAAGCGCGCGCAGGCGGUCUUUUAAGUUGGAUGUGAAAGCCUACGGCUCAACCGUAGAACUGCAUCCAAAACUAUUAGACUAGAGUGUGGGAGAGGAAGAUGGAAUUAGUUGUGUCGGGGUAAAAUCCGUAGAGAUAACUAGGAAUACCAAAAGCGAAGGCAAUCUUCUGGAACACUACUGACGCUGAGGCGCGAAAGCGUGGGGAGCAAACAGGAUUAGAAACCCUAGUAGUCC